rnacentral:piRNA from 1 species
UCACUAUACGAGUAACGGGAAUAAU